UACUCAAAGCAGCAAUGGAUCCCUGCAUG
rnacentral:piRNA from 1 species